rnacentral:rRNA from 1 species
CCUACGGGUGGCUGCAGUGGGGAAUAUUGGACAAUGGGCGAAAGCCUGAUCCAGCCAUGCCGCGUGUGUGAAGAAGGCCUUCGGGUUGUAAAGCACUUUCAGUGGGGAAGAAAGCCUUGGGGCUAAUACCCUCGAGGAAGGACAUCACCCACAGAAGAAGCACCGGUUAACUCCGUGCCAGCAGCCGCGGUAAUACGGAGGGUGCGAGCGUUAAUCGGAAUUACUGGGCGUAAAGCGCGCGUAGGCGGUCUGAUAAGCCGGUUGUGAAAGCCCCGGGCUCAACCUGGGAACGGCAUCCGGAACUGUCAGGCUAGAGUGCAGGAGAGGAAGGUAGAAUUCCCGGUGUAGCGGUGAAAUGCGUAGAGAUCGGGAGGAAUACCAGUGGCGAAGGCGGCCUUCUGGACUGACACUGACGCUGAGGUGCGAAAGCGUGGGUAGCAAACAGGAUUAGAUACCCCAGUAGUC